GACUUAAUGUCACGGUACCCAAUUUUCUGCCCCGGA
rnacentral:misc_RNA from 1 species